AUAUUCUGUGAGCAGGAAAGCAGGGGAUCGCAAGACCUUGCGCUGAUUGAGCGGCCGAUAUCAGAUUAGCUAGUUGGUGAGGUAAAGGCUCACCAAGGCGACGAUCUGUAGCGGGUCUGAGAGGAUGAUCCGCCACACUGGAACUGAGACACGGUCCAGACUCCUACGGGAGGCAGCAGUGGGGAAUUUUGGACAAUGGGGGCAACCCUGAUCCAGCCAUGCCGCGUGAGUGAAGAAGGCCUUCGGGUUGUAAAGCUCUUUCGGCCGGGAAGAAAUCGUAUGGGUUAAUACCCUGUGCGGAUGACGGUACCGGCAUAAGAAGCACCGGCUAACUACGUGCCAGCAGCCGCGGUAAUACGUAGGGUGCGAGCGUUAAUCGGAAUUACUGGGCGUAAAGCGUGCGCAGGCGGUUUUGUAAGACAGGCGUGAAAUCCCCGGGCUCAACCUGGGAACUGCGCUUGUGACUGCAAGGCUAGAGUACGGCAGAGGGGGGUGGAAUUCCACGUGUAGCAGUGAAAUGCGUAGAGAUGUGGAGGAACACCAAUGGCGAAGGCAGCCCCCUGGGUCGAUACUGACGCUCAUGCACGAAAGCGUGGGUAGCAAACAGGAUUAGAUACCCUGGUAGUCCACGCCCUAAACGAUGUCAACUAGGUGUUGGGUGGGUAAAACCAUUUAGUACCGGAGCUAACGCGUGAAGUUGACCGCCUGGGGAGUACGGCCGCAAGGUUAAAACUCAAAGGAAUUGACGGGGACCCGCACAAGCGGUGGAUGAUGUGGAUUAAUUCGAUGCAACGCGAAAAACCUUACCUACCCUUGACAUGUCCAGGAGCCUGAAGAGAUUUGGGUGUGCCCGAAAGGGAACUGGAACACAGGUGCUGCAUGGCUGUCGUCAGCUCGUGUCGUGAGAUGUUGGGUUAAGUCCCGCAACGAGCGCAACCCUUGUCGUUAAUUGCCAUCAUUUAGUUGGGCACUUUAACGAGACUGCCGGUGACAAACCGGAGGAAGGUGGGGAUGACGUCAAGUCCUCAUGGCCCUUAUGGGUAGGGCUUCACACGUCAUACAAUGGUCGGUACAAAGGGUCGCCAACCCGCGAGGGGGAGCCAAUCCCAGAAAGCCGAUCGUAGUCCGGAUCGUAGGCUGCAACUCGCCUGCGUGAAGUCGGAAUCGCUAGUAAUCGUGGAUCAGCAUGUCACGGUGAAUACGUUCCCGGGUCUUGUACACACCGCCCGUCACACCAUGGGAGCGGGUUCCGCCAGAAGUAGGUAGCCUAACCGCAAGGGGGGCGCUUACCACGGCGGGGUUCGUGACUGGGGUGAAGUCGAAACAAGGUA
rnacentral:rRNA from 1 species